AUUUAUGACAUUAAAUUAAGGACAUGUGUAGUAUCUGUUCUUAUCAGUUUAAUACCUGAUACGUCCUCUAUCCAAGGACAAUAUAGUAAAUUAGUUUUUGGAGCAGGGAGAUGGAUUAGGAGCUUGCUCCGUCCACUCCACGCGUCGACCUGGUAUUGCAGUAUUUCCAGGACCGGUGCAAAAAAA